AUCCUUUUGUAGUUCAUAAGCGUGAUGAUUAGUUGUUCACGCUGCUAUGUGACAUGUACCACCCUUAAACCUUGUUACGAUGUCAGCACAUUACCUGUCUGACG